GCUGAAGAACGCAGCGAAAUGCGAUAAGUAAUGUGAAUUGCAGAAUUCAGUGAAUCAUCGUAUCUUUGAACGCACAUUGCGCCCGCCAGUAUUCUGGCGGGCAUGCCUGUUCGAGCGUCAUUACAACCCUCAGGCCCCCGGGCCUGGCGUUGGGGAUCGGCGGAGCCCCCCGUGGGCACACGCCGUCCCCCAAAUGCAGUGGCGGUCCCGCCGCAGCUUCCAUCGCGUAGUAGCUAACACCUCGCGACUGGAGAGCGGCGCGGCCACGCCGUAAAACACCCAACUCUUCUGAAGUUGACCUCGAAUCAGGUAGGAAUACCCGCUGAACUUAAGCAUAUCAAUAAGCGGAGGA
rnacentral:misc_RNA from 1 species